GGUGAAAGAUUUAUCGCUGUAAGAUGAGCCUUCGCAGGAUUAGUUAGUUGGUAGGGUAAUGGCCUACCAAGACGAUGAUCCUUAGCUGGUCUGAGAGGACGAACAGCCACACUGGAACUGAGAUACGGUCCAGACUUCUACGGAAGGCAGCAGUGAGGAAUUUUGGACAAUGGGCGAAAGCCUGAUCCAGCGACGCCACGUGAGUGAUGAAGGCCUUAGGGUUGUAAAGCCCUUUCAGUAGGGAAGAUAAUGACGGUACCUACAGAAGAAGCCCCGGCUAACUUCGUGCCAGCAGCCGCGGUAAUACGAAGGGGGCUAGCGUUACUCGGAAUUACUGGGCGUAAAGCGUGCGCAGGCGGCUUUGUAAGUCGGAAGUGAAAGCCCAAGGCUUAACCUUGGAAUUGCUUACGAUACUACAAAGCUAGAGUCCUAGAGAGGAUGGUGGAAUUCAUAGUGUUGAGGUGAAAUUCGUAGAUAUUAUGAGGAAUACCGGAGGCGAAAGCGGCCAUCUGGCUAGGUACUGACGCUGUUGCACGAAGGCGUGGGGAGCAAACAGGAUUAGAUACCCUGGUAGUCUACGCAGUAAACGAUGAGUGCUAGAUAUCGGAAUUUUCGGUGUCGAAGCUAACGCGUUAAGCACUCCGCCUGAGGAUUACGGCCGCAAGGCUAAAACUUAAAGGAAUUGACGGGGACCCGCACAAGCGGUGGAACAUGUGGUUUAAUUCGAUGAUACGCGAAGAACCUUACCAGGUUUUGACAUAAUAGUCGUACGACUAAGAGAUUAGUUGGUCAGCUCGGCUGGACUAUUACAGGUGUUGCAUGGCUGUCGUCAGCUCGUGUCGUGAGAUGUCAGGUUAAGUCCUGUAACGAGCGCAACCCUCACCAUUAGUUGCCAUCAGGUAAUGCUGGGAACUCUAAUGGAACUGUCUGUGAUAAGCAGAAGGAAGGCGGGGACGAGGUCAAGUCAGCAUGGCCCUUAAGGCCUGGGCUACACACGUGUUACAAUGGUGACUACAAUGGGACGCAAUACGGCGACGUGGAGCAAAUCUAUAAAAGUCAUCUCAGUUCGGAUUGUACCCUGCAACUCGGGUACAUGAAGUCGGAAUCGCUAGUAAUCGCAGAUCAGCACGCUGCGGUGAAUACGUUCCCGGGUCUUGUACACACUGCCCGUCAAGCCAUGGGAGUUGGUUCUGCCUUAAGCAAGUGAGCAAACCUUCGGGAUGCAGCUUGCCACGGUGGGAUCGAUGACUGGGGUUAAGUCGUAACAAGGUA
rnacentral:rRNA from 1 species